AACGCACAUUGCGCCCCCUGGUAUUCCGGGGGGCAUGCCUGUUCGAGCGUCAUUUAUACCAAUCUAGCCUGGCUAGGUGUUGGGCUUCGCCGUCUGGCGGGCCUUAAAACUAGUGGCGGUGCUCUUAGGCUCUACGCGUAGUAAUUUUCUCGCUAUAGGGUCCUGGGAGAUGCCGGCCAGCAACCCCAAAUUUUUCUAGGUUGACCUCGGAUCAGGUAGGGAUACCCGCUGAACUUAA
rnacentral:misc_RNA from 1 species